rnacentral:rRNA from 1 species
CAUGAAGCUGGAAUCGCUAGUAAUCGCGAAUCAGAAUGUCGCGGUGAAUAUGUUCCCGGGUCUUGUACACACCGCCCGUCGCACCAUGGGAGUUGGAAAUGCCCGAAGUCAGUGACCCAACCGCAAGGAGGGAGCUGCCGAAGGCAGGUCCGGUAACUGGGGUGAAGUCGUAACAAGGUAGC